AUGUCUUGUCCUGAUGGCAUCGAUAUCCCCAAUGGCAAGUUCUACCUAGGAGAUGCUAGCUAUGCAUGCCGGCCUGGUGUUCUUCCACCCUUCAGGAAAACAAGGCACCAUCUGAAAGAGUUCUCUGGUAGGAACUAUCCUAGGACCGCACAUGAAUUGUUCAAUCUCAGACACUCUAGCCUACGAUUUAUGGUCCAUAGGGCAUUUAGAGCUCUGAAGAAUAGAUUUAAGAUCCUGAAUCAAAAGUCAUUCCACCAUUACUCUACCCAAGUUAAGCUUGUUCUUGCAUGUUGCAUCCUUCACAAGUAGAUCCUACAUUGGGGUUGUGAUGACCUUGUGCCGGAGGAGGAAGAGGUGAUGCUUAAUGUUGUUGUUAGCUCUGACCAUGGUGUGAAGGCAUUUUACAAUGAAGCCUGA
rnacentral:rRNA from 1 species